UACGAAGGGGGCUAGCGUUGCUCGGAAUCACUGGGCGUAAAGAGCUCGUAGGUGGUUUGUCGCGUUGUUCGUGAAAACUCACAGCUCAACUGUGGGCGUGCGGGCGAUACGGGCAGACUGGAGUACUGCAGGGGAGACUGGAAUUCCCGGUGUAGCGGUGGAAUGCGCAGAUAUCAGGAGGAACACCGGUGGCGAAGGCGGGUCUCUGGGCAGUAACUGACGCUGAGGAGCGAAAGCGUGGGGAGCGAACAGG
rnacentral:rRNA from 1 species